UACGGAGGAGGCAAGCGUUAUCCGGAAUUAUUGGGCGUAAAGCGUGCGUAGGUGGUUCGUUAAGUCUGAUGUGAAAGCCCUGGGCUCAACCUGGGAAUGGCAUUGGAAACUGGCGACCUAGAGUGCGGUAGAGGGUAGUGGAAUUCCCGGUGUAGCAGUGAAAUGCGUAGAGAUCGGGAGGAACAUCCGUGGCGAAGGCGACUACCUGGACCAGCACUGACACUGAGGCACGAAAGCGUGGGGAGCAAACAGG
rnacentral:rRNA from 1 species